UAGGGCUCAUUGUAUCAUGGUUAGUAUCAAGAGUUAUAUUUUUCUCCCGUGCUUUCUCACAUGGUAUCAGAGCUUCAGUGAGAAUAUUAUAGCUGUGCGUCAUUCCAGCUACUUCCGGGAAGAAAGACCUCGUCGCCGUGCAAUUUUCCGGCGACUUAAGAGGCUGCCCGAACUAAACCACCUUUUUUGUUGGUGUUGUGCAAAAUCCAAGACCACCACGAGGUUCGGAAGAGAAUUCCGACCAAACCCCAGAAAUUUCUCCGGCCAAUUCUUUCACACGCGCCGCCAGAGCUCUCGGCGCGUCAGACCACGCGCCAGCGCGUGAAGUACUUUCCGGCCAAUUUUUCACUUUGCUCCUUCAGGACAGUUUGGUCGGCUCUCAAUUCCGACCCUACCCAUACUUUUUUCGUUCGAUUCCGACAACUUUCAAUUUUUUCCGGCGACUUCUUUUUUGUUGGUGUUGUGCAAAAUCCAAGACCACCACGAGGUUCGGAAGAGAAUUCCGACCAAACCCCAGAAAUUUCUCCGGCCAAUUCUUUCACACGCGCCGCCAGAGCUCUCGG
rnacentral:lncRNA from 1 species